ACCAGUUGGGUCGGGCUUGGGGCAAAUGCACCGCUCUGGCCUCUUGCCUUUUGCUCUUCCCCUUCCCUUCCAGACACUAGUGCACACGUCCGGCCACCAACCUUCUCCAUGAGAAGCAUCACUGAACGUCAGGCGUGCAAGCAGAGGUACCCAAGCUGCCCAGAUCCUUGGUGAUUCCCAGCAAACACUGCGGCAACCCUGGCCUGCUACCUGUGUGCUUUGUAUUAUGAGAAACCCCAAGAAGUCCAUGGAAAAAUAAACUCCGUCUCAAAGAGCAGUUUGGUCUGAAGCACAUUGCGAGCAUGGAGCCCAUAUGGGGCUUUGAACUCAUGACCCUGAGAUCAAGACCUGAGCUGAGAUCAAGAGUCAGAUGCUUAACCAACUGAACUGCCCAGGUGCCCCAGUCCUUUAUUGUUUCUUCUGUUAGGUUGGUAGUUUUUUUAAUUGAUAUUUUCCAAGUUAUUUAUUUGUUAGAGAAAUUAAACAUUCAUCUGUGAUAUAAGAUGCACAUUUUCCCCCAGUA